UUAACUAUUAUAUAGUACUCAGACGACACUAAUAUUCAGAGUUUGGGGUCCUCUGGCGGGCGCAUACCAGCCGGAGCCGGUAGCCGGACCGUGAUCUGACGGCCCGCCAAAGCAACAAAGGUAAUAAUAACACAGGGUGGGAGAUCUACCCGUUAGGGCAUGAGCUCGGUAAUGAUCCCUCCGCAGGUUCACCUACGGAGA
rnacentral:misc_RNA from 1 species